GUCUAAGUACGCACUGCGGGGACAGUGGAUCUGUAAAUGGCUCAGGAAAUCAGUUACGGUUCCUUUGGUUGCUCACAUCUCUCUUACUUGCAUAACUGUGGCAAUUCCAGAGCAAAUGCAUGCCCACUUGGGCCCAGCAGCAGCACGAUUCCCAUGCACCAAUCUUCAAGGAAUAUUUGUAAAGCUACGUGCUUCAGAGGACAUAAUUCAAGGCCAGUUCCCAAGGCUUGAAAACAUGUUUGUGUCUUUUUAAUUUUUUUUUUUGUACUCUGUCCUGUUCUUUACCAAAAAGGGACUUUCAGUAAUAAAACAUGAAAGGAAACUAAUAAUAGUAAUGACCACAAAAGAAAUGCCAAAG
rnacentral:rRNA from 1 species